rnacentral:lncRNA from 1 species
AAAAUUCAUACAAAAAUUUAAUAAAUCUAAAUCAUAUUUGAAAUUCUUUUUUUAAGAUUUAAUUAAUUAAUUAAUUAACUAUCCAUAAAUUUAUAUUAAUAUAAAUUUCAAUUUUUAAUUUUUAUUUUUAAGCUUUUUUUUAAUAUUUUUAUUUUUAAGCUAAAGAGUUCUAAAAUGAACAUUAAAUUUUUAUAACAAAAAAUAGAAAUAGAAAAUAUAAAAAUGAUGUCUUACAACAAUAUAAUAAAUAAAAUAAAAUAAAUAUUAAAAAUGGAAUAAAAUAGAAAAAAAAAACAAAUAAG